GCCAGUAGCCAUAUCACCCUGCAACUCACAACUGGCAACCCACUGAAGCUCAGCAGGUGUGAGCCUGGUCAGUACCUGGAUGGGAGACCUCAAACUAAGGUUGCUGCUGGAA
rnacentral:rRNA from 1 species